AUACGGAGGAUCCGAGCGUUAUCCGGAUUUAUUGGGUUUAAAGGGUGCGCAGGCGGGAGAUUAAGUCGGCGGUGAAAUUUUUGAGCUCAACUCAAAAAGUGCCUUCGAAACUGGUUUCCUUGAGUGUGGAUGAAGGAGGCGGAAUUUGUGGGGUAGCGGUGAAAAGCAUAGAUAUCACGAGGAACUCCGAUUGCGCAGGCAGCUUACUACACAACUACAGACGCUCAGGCGCGAAGGAGUGUGGCUCAAACAGGAUUAGAUACCCUGGUAGUCCACGCAGUAAACGAUGAUUACUAGCUGUUUGCGAUACAAUGUAAGCGGCGGAGAGAAAACGUUAAGUAAUCCACCUGGGGAGUGCGUUCGCAAGAAUGAAACUCAAAGGAAUUUACGCGG
rnacentral:rRNA from 1 species